rnacentral:rRNA from 1 species
GACGAACGCUGGCGGCGUGCUUAACACAUGCAAGUCGAACGGUAAGGCCCUUCGGGGUACACGAGUGGCGAACGGGUGAGUAACACGUGGGUGAUCUGCCCUGCACUUCGGGAUAAGCCUGGGAAACUGGGUCUAAUACCGGAUAGGACCACUGCCUGCAUGGGUGGUGGUGGAAAGCUUUUGCGGUGUGGGAUGGGCCCGCGGCCUAUCAGCUUGUUGGUGGGGUGAUGGCCUACCAAGGCGACGACGGGUAGCCGGCCUGAGAGCGUGACCGGCCACACUGGGAGUGAGGUACGGCCCAGACUCCUACGGGGGGCAGCAGUGGGGAGUAUUGCACAAUGGGCGCAAGCCUGAUGCAGCGACGCCGCGUGAGGGAUGACGGCCUUCGGGUUGUAAACCUCUUUCAACACCGACGAAGCGCAAGUGACGGUAGGUGCAGAAGAAGGACCGGCCAACUACGUGCCAGCCGCCGCAGUAA